rnacentral:rRNA from 1 species
AGUUACCAGCACGUUAUGGUGGGCACUCUAAGGAGACUGCCGGUGACAACGGAGGAAGGUGGGGAUGACGUCAAGUCAUCAUGGCCCUUACGGCCUGGGCUACACACGUGCUACAAUGGUCGGUACAAAGGGUUGCCAAGCCGCGAGGUGGAGCUAAUCCCAUAAAACCGAUCGUAGUCCGGAUCGCAGUCUGCAACUCGACUGCGUGAAGUCGGAAUCGCUAGUAAUCGUGAAUCAGAAUGUCACGGUGAAUACGUUCCCGGGCCUU